GACAGAGGGUGCAAACGUUGUUCGGAAUUACUGGGCGUAAAGCGCGUGUAGGCUGCUUCGCAAGUCGGAUGUGAAAGCCCUGGGCUCAACCCAGGAAGUGCAUUCGAAACUGCAGAGCUGGAGUCCUGGAGAGGAAGGCGGCAUUCUCGGUGUAGAGGUGAAAUUCGUAGAUAUCGAGAGGAACACCGGUGGCGAAGGCGGCCUUCUGGACAGUGACUGACGCUGAGACGCGAAAGCGUGGGGAGCAAACAGG
rnacentral:rRNA from 1 species